GAUGAACGCUAGCGACAGGCUUAACACAUGCAAGUCGAGGGGCAGCACAGGUAGCAAUACCGGGUGGCGACCGGCGCACGGGUGAGUAACGCGUAUGCAACUUACCUAUCAGAGGGGGAUAACCCGGCGAAAGUCGGACUAAUACCGCAUGAAGCAGGGGUCCCGCAUGGGGAUAUUUGCUAAAGAUUCAUCGCUGAUAGAUAGGCAUGCGUUCCAUUAGGCAGUUGGCGGGGUAACGGCCCACCAAACCGACGAUGGAUAGGGGUUCUGAGAGGAAGGUCCCCCACAUUGGUACUGAGACACGGUCCAAACUCCUACGGGAGGCAGCAGUGAGGAAUAUUGGUCAAUGGCCGAGAGGCUGAACCAGCCAAGUCGCGUGAGGGAUGAAGGUUCUAUGGAUCGUAAACCUCUUUUAUAAGGGAAUAAAGUGCGGGACGUGUCCCGUUUUGUAUGUACCUUAUGAAUAAGGAUCGGCUAACUCCGUG
rnacentral:rRNA from 1 species